AUUGAACGCUGGCGGCAUGCCUUACACAUGCAAGUCGAACGGCAGCAUGGAGGAGCUUGCUCCUCUGAUGGCGAGUGGCGAACGGGUGAGUAAAGCAUCGGAACGUACCGUGUAGUGGGGGAUAACGUAGCGAAAGUUACGCUAAUACCGCAUACGCACUGAGGUGGAAAGCAGGGGAUCGCAAGACCUUGCGCUAUACGAGCGGCCGAUGUCAGAUUAGCUAGUUGGUAGGGUAAAGGCCUACCAAGGCGACGAUCUGUAGCGGGUCUGAGAGGAUGAUCCGCCACACUGGGACUGAGACACGGCCCAGACUCCUACGGGAGGCAGCAGUGGGGAAUUUUGGACAAUGGGGGAAACCCUGAUCCAGCCAUGCCGCGUGAGUGAAGAAGGCCUCGGUGUAAG
rnacentral:rRNA from 1 species